GUUGCUUGUGAGGAUCGUGACCUGGGGUCACUGCAUGCUCAUGAGGAGUACAUCAAUGCCUCUAAACAGAUCAACCAUGGAUCUGACCACUAUAACAAGGGCCAACACAAGUUUCAGUUCGAUUACCUUCUACCAAACAACCUACCAUCGUCUUUUAUAGGAAAAUACGGAAGUGUAACUUAUGUUUUGAAAGCCACUGUUCACGGAGAAAGACCUGGCGAGACUAGUAUUACUAGUGAACCUUUCCUAGUGUUAAGACAUUCCAUACUUCCUGAUCAAAGCAAUAAAACUAUAGGGACAUCAACCCAGAAAAGAAUCUGGGCCAUGUGUAAUUCUGGGAAGCUGAAAUUAAAUGUGGAAUUAAACAAAGUGGGAUUUUUUCCGGGAGAAGACAUGUUCAUUAGUGCAGCCAUUGAAAACAAAUGUCCGUUAACAGUGACAGCGGUUCAGGCAUCUCUAAUGAUGAACAGUGUGUAUCAUGCCAAACAACAAAAAAUUCCAUUCCACCAAAUUGUGAACAAGCGCAGGGACAUGUAUGAAAUAACCAGUGGAGAGGGAAGGCGGUGGCAACAUGUACGAUUAACCAUUCCACCAUACAUUCCAGAGUCGGGGCUGGAAAAUUGUGACAUUAUUGGGAUUUCUUAUAAGUUUCAAUUCCGUGUAGAGUUAGUAGGCGGGAAGGAAGUGAAGAUAGAGUUACCGAUUCUGAUUGGGACACAUCACAUGGGUCUGGAUAUUCCUGAAAAUGCCAAACUAGAUAGUGGUAGAUAUAACAAUGAAUGGAGCACCCAGCAUUUCCCGGGGAAUGCUAAAGAACUACAGAAUGGUUUUGAUAGAGAGCCCGCAGCAUGGGAUGUUGGGGUACCAGAACUUCGUCCGGUGGAUUCUACCAUGAUAAACCCUCUAUUCCAAAAACAAAUAUCUAUCCACGAACGAAAGAAGAAGAUUUCUACAGAGGAAAUGCCAGAAAUCAUGGAAAAUACGAAACUUUGAACUUAACUUCUAACAAGAACCCCCAAUGCUUACUUUUUCGUAGAUAAAAUCUAUGAUUGUAAUGAAUCAUUUUAGUUAUGAAUUUUAGAAAUUGUGAAAAUAUUUUUACAAAUACCUUUUUAAAAAUCCCAAAGUCUAUUAAAAAUAUAUUUUUAGUAUUGCAAAAUGUAUUCUCCACUUAAUCAGAUUGAAUUGAAAUAAAAUGAAGUGUUAAUUCAAUGACUAUAACUUUUAUGCUUUAUACCUGCUUAUAUUAAAAAUUAAAAGCAUUAUGAGACU
rnacentral:misc_RNA from 1 species